GCCUCCUGGCCUGGGACUGAGAGAGAAAGUGCUAAUGAGAUUAGGCUCCGAAGUCUCCAUCUUACCACAAUCCCUCCCCACCUGUACUCACUGCCCACCCCCACCGCCAGCCUGACUCAGACAUUUCUGUUUUAGCUUCCCACACACAGGCCAGGGCUGCCUCGCCUGUCUGUGCGUCAUGGAGAAUUCAGCAGUGGUGACCCCAACAUCAGAGCUCCCCAGCUUCUGGGAUGUUCAGAGCCCUCAGCCUACAGCCUGGGAGGCCUCGUGCCCAGACGCCACGCACCCUCCGGUGACCAGCAGCCACCUGUCCAUCCCCCAAGACCAGAAAGGCAGCAGCAGCCCCCGGGAGCCCAGGACUGUCCUCGGGUUUGAGCCAGCGUCUUCCUACAAGACGAGCAGCUGGUACCUUUGGAGUUCUGGAGCUGCAGCCAAGCAGGUUCCCUCCGUAUCCUCUUCAGCCAGGGCUUUCGCUCUUCCACUGAAUUUGCACACUUUCCAAUGCAGUUCAAAGCAGUUUGAAAUAAAGUCAUUCUCAUAUUCUGUGGUCUGUGAUCUGCCCUCUGCGACUGUUGGGAGUGUUGGGGGAUUC
ensembl:lncRNA